rnacentral:sRNA from 1 species
GAUGUAAGGACGAUCAGAGUGUGACAUCUUGUCACCCCUUGGAUCUCUAAAGUUGAUUCAGCUGGCCUGGCUUGGUAGGCUGCCAUCUCCUUCCUCCCUCUGCUC